GACGAACGUUGGCGGCGUGCUUAACACAUGCAAGUCGAACGGAAAGGCCCUGCUUUUGUGGGGUGCUCGAGUGGCGAACGGGUGAGUAACACGUGAGUAACCUGCCCUUGACUUUGGGAUAACUUCAGGAAACUGGGGCUAAUACCGGAUAGGAGCUCCUGCUGCAUGGUGGGGGUUGGAAAGUUUCGGCGGUUGGGGAUGGACUCGCGGCUUAUCAGCUUGUUGGUGGGGUAGUGGCUUACCAAGGCUUUGACGGGUAGCCGGCCUGAGAGGGUGACCGGCCACAUUGGGACUGAGAUACGGCCCAGACUCCUACGGGAGGCAGCAGUGGGGAAUAUUGCACAAUGGGCGGAAGCCUGGUGCAGCAACGCCGCGUGCGGGAUGACGGCCUUCGGGUUGUAAACCGCUUUCGCCUGUGACGAAGCGUGAGUGACGGUAAUGGGUAAAGAAGCACCGGCUAACUACGUGCCAGCAGCCGCGGUGAUACGUAGGGUGCGAGCGUUGUCCGGAUUUAUUGGGCGUAAAGGGCUCGUAGGUGGUUGAUCGCGUCGGAAGUGUAAUCUUGGGGCUUAACCCUGAGCGUGCUUUCGAUACGGGUUGACUUGAGGAAGGUAGGGGAGAAUGGAAUUCCUGGUGGAGCGGUGGAAUGCGCAGAUAUCAGGAGGAACACCAGUGGCGAAGGCGGUUCUCUGGGCCUUUCCUGACGCUGAGGAGCGAAAGCGUGGGGAGCGAACAGGCUUAGAUACCCUGGUAGUCCACGCUGUAAACGGUGGGUACUAGGUGUGGGGUCCAUUCCACGGGUUCCGUGCCGUAGCUAACGCUUUAAGUACCCCGCCUGGGGAGUACGGCCGCAAGGCUAAAACUCAAAGGAAUUGACGGGGCCCCGCACAAGCGGCGGAGCAUGCGGAUUAAUUCGAUGCAACGCGUAGAACCUUACCUGGGUUUGACAUGGAUCGGGAGUGCUCAGAGAUGGGUGUGCCUCUUUUGGGGUCGGUUCACAGGUGGUGCAUGCCUGUCGUCAGCUCGUGUCGUGAGAUGUUGGGUUAAGUCCCGCAACGAGCGCAACCCUUGUUCACUGUUGCCAGCACGUUAUGGUGGGGACUCAGUGGAGACCGCCGGGGUCAACUCGGAGGAAGGUGGGGAUGACGUCAAGUCCUCAUGCCCCUUAUGUCCAGGGCUUCACGCAUGCUACAAUGGCUGGUACAGAGAGUGGCGAGCCUGUGAGGGUGAGCGAAUCUCGGAAAGCCGGUCUCAGUUCGGAUUGGGGUCUGCAACUCGACCUCAUGAAGUCGGAGUCGCUAGUAAUCGCAAAUCAGCAACGCUGCGGUGAAUACGUUCCCGGGGCU
rnacentral:rRNA from 1 species